GUCCACGCCCUAAACUGUGCUCACUUGGUGUGGGGGGAGUCGACCCCCUCCGUGCCGAAGCUAACGCGUUAAGUGAGCCGCCUGGGGGACUACGGUCGCAAGAUUAAAACUCAAAGAAAUUGACGGGGGCCCGCACAAGCGGUGGAGCAUGUGGCUUAAUUCGAUGCAACGCGAAGAACCUUACCUGGCCUUGACAUCGAUCGUGAAAAACCGGUGAAAGCCGGUGACGGCCCGAAAGGGUGCUGGGGAUCGACAGGUGCUGCAUGGUUGUCGU
rnacentral:rRNA from 1 species